rnacentral:rRNA from 1 species
AUUGAACGCUGGCGGCAGGCCUAACACAUGCAAGUCGAACGAGUGGCGGACGGGUGAGUAAUGUCUGGGAAACUGCCCGAUGGAGGGGGAUAACGACUGGAAACGGUAGCUAAUACCGCAUACCAUCGGAUGUGCCCAGAGGGGAUUAGCUAGUAGGUGGGGUAAUGGCUCACAUAGGCGACGAUCCCUAGCUGGUCUGAGAGGAUGACCAGCCACACUGGAACUGGGACACGUCCCAGACUCCUCGGGAGGGCGGCAGUGGGGAAUAUGGCACAAUGGGCGCAAGCCUGAUGCAGCCAUACCGCGUGUAUGAAGAAGGCCUUCGGGUUGUAAAGUACUUUCAGCGAGGAGGCGUUACUCGCAGAAGAAGCACCGGCUAACUCCGUGCCAGCCGCCGCGGUAAUAC